UUUCUUAUCUUACAGGGAUGCUGAAUCAGGCCCACGUACGCACUGACUGCUUGUGGCUUGUGGAAGAUGUCUUUGGCCUGCAGUGCCUGAGAGCAGGGCAUGGCUCUUGUGGGUGAAGGAGGAGCCUGUCCCCUCCAGGGUCCCAAACUGAGUUUUGAUGCAGUAACCUUGCAACUUGAGCUAAAACUGGUUUGCCUGUUCCAGCAGUUAACAGGUGUUCCUGGUCACCCUGCAAAACCGCAGUGAAAAUAUCUGCAUACCACUGAAAUGAAGCAACUCCAAACCAACCCCUGUGAAGAAAAUCCCACCCUUUGCUUUUGUUUUGUAGAAACGAAUGGGCAAAACCCCUUCAACUAUGGGUUUUCAUAAUGAUAGAGAGGGAGCUUUCACCAUCAUCCCAGUUUUGGACAGCAUCUGAUGCAGGCUCAUGGAGACAGGGGACUGUUAUUAGAGCUGUGUGAAUAAUCUACAGCAAGUAACUGAAUGGAAGUGUUUGGCCUUUUUUCUGUUUGCAAACUAUCUGUGAGCCUGCCUGGAGGUUCUUGAAUGUGUUUGUUGUUUGAAAUAAUACUGCCCAUAAUUUCUGUGAAUAAUCAUUUAUUUGUAGCUUGCCUACGAGCAUUUAGAUAGUCAAAAUGUCAUUUCUGUUCCAUGGUUACAUGAGUGCAACCCUGAGAUUUCCAACAAGAGUUUCCACAGUCAGCAGCGGUAAAUUCACUUGCUGUAAAAAACUACUGAAAUCUUUUUGGGCAAUGUAUGUUCAUCUGCAAUAUUCAUGGGAAAAAAGUGGGGAAAUGCAGUCAAAUAACAGUUCUUUGUAAAGCAUUAAAAAGUAUUUCCUACGAUUCUUUCUAUGGCUAAAUGGAUGAUUUAAGUUUUUAUGGUUUGCAGUCUGGAACCAUUCAAUCAGAAGUAAGCUUGCUUAGAAGAUUUCUACUUGCGCCAGACACAGUCCCCUGGCCCUACGGCUCCAAAAGGGUGUCCGUGUGCUGUAGUCCAGAUCUGAACCACCUCAGCACUCCAGAAGUUGUAUACUGAGAUACUCAGGUCUCUGACUGCCAAAGGACUGUUCAAAGGUGAAAAGAAGAGCUCACCAUUUGGUUUCCGAGUGAGGCUAUCCCUGGCAUAAAGGAUCACCCUGGCUGUCGGGGUGAUGGUGCCCUCAGCAGAGCCUGCUGCCUAGACUCGGGUUUGGGCACCAGCACCGCUGACGUGUCGCUCAGCUCAGCUCGGCACGAAUGACCGCAGCUCACCGCUGCUUCUUGCCAAGCUUUCAAGAGAAGCGAGCGUACGCUUUCCAGGAGGAACCCGGUCUGCCAGCGACAUUCGCCAUGCUGUGUUUGUUUUCAUCCAUAGCCCUUUGGUUACCUGGCAUGGUUGAAUGGUUUUGUGAUAAGGACACCUUGAAGGAUAAAUUGCGUAGGUAUAUUAAGGAAGAAAUAGUCAAUACUAUACACAGGCUAAGUGCCUCCACCUCAAUUUGACAUUUAUUUUCAAGGGAAGAGGUAAUAUUUUGCAAACGAAACACCGCAUGAAUCCAUUUUGGGUCUCUGAAAAAUUUUCUUCUUCAAUUUCUUUAAUACAGGCUUGUUGUUUACUCAUUGCAUUCUGAAAUAUACUACAGAAAAUUAUUUCUUCUGCAAAUAUUUCCCAGCUCCUGAACUCUGUGUUUCCAAACAGCUCAUCUCUGAACUAUUGUACCUGGAUAGGCAUUUUCAAAAUACUCAAUCAUCUCUCUUGGCACACCAAAGAGCAGUGUGGGCUACCAACUUCAUGUAUCUAUGUCAUGAAAAUGUUAGGCAGAUCAGUUCUCAGAACCAAGGCUGUCCUCUGUCUUGCAUGCCAGACAUCCCCAGAGCAAUGGAUUUUGUAACAUU